ensembl:misc_RNA Metazoa_SRP Metazoan signal recognition particle RNA
GCUGGGUGUAGUGACUCACACCUGUAAUCCCAGCACUUUGGGAGGCCGAGGCAGGUGGAUCACCUGAGGUCAGGAGUUCAAGACCAGCCUGACCAACAUGGUGAAACCCUGUCUCUA